UAGAGUUUGAUCCUGGCUCAGGAUGAACGCUAGCGGCAGGCCUAACACAUGCAAGUCGAGGGGUAGAGGGUGCUUGCACCCUUGAGACCGGCGCACGGGUGCGUAACGCGUAUGCAACCUACCUAUUGCAGGGGAAUAGCCCAGGGAAACUUGGAUUAAUGCCCCAUAGUCCAUAUUGAGAGCAUUUGAGAUAUGGUAAAGAUUUAUCGGCAAUAGAUGGGCAUGCGUCCCAUUAGCUAGUUGGUAUGGUAACGGCAUACCAAGGCUACGAUGGGUAGGGGCCCUGAGAGGGGGAUCCCCCACACUGGUACUGAGACACGGACCAGACUCCUACGGGAGGCAGCAGUGAGGAAUAUUGGACAAUGGGCGGGAGCCUGAUCCAGCCAUGCCGCGUGCAGGAAGACUGCCCUAUGGGUUGUAAACUGCUUUUUUACGGGAAGAAACACCCCCACGUGUGGGGGCUUGACGGUACCGUACGAAUAAGGACCGGCUAACUCCGUGCCAGCAGCCGCGGUAAUACGGAGGGUCCGAGCGUUAUCCGGAAUCAUUGGGUUUAAAGGGUCCGUAGGCGGGCGUCUAAGUCAGUGGUGAAAUCUCGCGGCUCAACCGUGAAAUUGCCAUUGAUACUGGUCGCCUUGAAUUAGUGUGAAGUGGCUAGAAUAUGUAGUGUAGCGGUGAAAUGCUUAGAUAUUACAUAGAAUACCGAUUGCGAAGGCAGGUCACUAACACUAUAUUGACGCUGAUGGACGAAAGCGUGGGGAGCGAACAGGAUUAGAUACCCUGGUAGUCCACGCCGUAAACGAUGGAUACUAGCUGUCCGGCCUGCAUUGGUAGGCUGGGUGGCCAAGCGAAAGUGAUAAGUAUCCCACCUGGGGAGUACGUUCGCAAGAAUGAAACUCAAAGGAAUUGACGGGGGCCCGCACAAGCGGUGGAGCAUGUGGUUUAAUUCGAUGAUACGCGAGGAACCUUACCAGGGCUUAAAUGUAGUCUGACAGGGGUGGAAACACCCCCUUCUUCGGACAGACUGCAAGGUGCUGCAUGGUUGUCGUCAGCUCGUGCCGUGAGGUGUCAGGUUAAGUCCUAUAACGAGCGCAACCCCUGUCGUUAGUUGCCAGCAUGUAAAGAUGGGAACUCUAACGAGACUGCCGGUGCAAACCGUGAGGAAGGUGGGGAUGACGUCAAAUCAUCACGGCCCUUACGUCCUGGGCCACACACGUGCUACAAUGGCAGGUACAAUGGGCAGCCACGCCGCAAGGCGGAGCGAAUCCACAAAACCUGUCUCAGUUCGGAUCGGGGUCUGCAACUCGACCCCGUGAAGCUGGAAUCGCUAGUAAUCGGAUAUCAGCCAUGAUCCGGUGAAUACGUUCCCGGGCCUUGUACA
rnacentral:rRNA from 1 species